UACGGAGGGCGCAAGCGUUGUUCGGGAUCACUGGGCGUAAAGCGCGUGUAGGCGGCUCUGCAAGUCGGGUGUGAAAUCCCGAGGCUCAACCUCGGAACUGCACUCGAUACUGCUUGGCUCGAGUCCCGGAGAGGGUAGCGGAAUUCCCGGUGUAGGGGUGAAAUUCGUAGAUAUUGGGAGGAACACCAGUGGCGAAAGCGGCCACCUGGAUGGAGUCUGACGCUGAGGCGCGAAAGCGUGGGGAGCAAACAGG
rnacentral:rRNA from 1 species